UGUACACACCGCCCGUCACACCAUGGGAGUGGGUUGCUCCAGAAGUAGCUAGUCUAACCUUCGGGAGGACGGUUACCACGGAGUGAUUCAUGACUGGGGUGAAGUCGUAACAAGGUAGCCGUAGGGGAACCUGCGGCUGGAUCACCUCCUUA
rnacentral:rRNA from 2 species